GUAGGGAAUAUUGGACAAUGGGGGCAACCCUGAUGGAGCGACGCCGCGUGGAGGAUAAGGUCUUCGGAUUGUAAACUCCUGUCAUGCGUGAACAAGGUUGCUUGGUUAAUACCUGGGCAAAUUGAUGGUAACGCAAGAGGAAGAGACGGCUAACUCUGUGCCAGCAGCCGCGGUAAUACAGAGGUCUCAAGCGUUGUUCGGAAUCACUGGGCGUAAAGGGUGCGUAGGUGGCGUGGUAAGUCAGAUGUGAAAGCCCGGGGCUCAACCUCGGAACUGCAUCCGAUACUGCCAUGCUAGAGUACUGGAGAGGUGACUAGAAUUCUCGGUGUAGCAGUGAAAUGCGUAGAUAUCGAGAGGAAUACCAAAGGCGUAGGCAGGUCACUGGACAGUUACUGACACUGAGGCACGAAGGCCAGGGGAGCGAACGGGAUUAGAAACCCGGGUAGUCC
rnacentral:rRNA from 1 species